rnacentral:lncRNA from 1 species
CGCCCAUUGGGGGUUCUUUUGGGAGCAGUCGACGCAGACUUUGUUCUCCGGUUGGGAUUGGAGCGUGCGGAGUCGUAUGGCUGCCGCCAUGGUGGAAUUGUGACGUCUCUACGAUCUGAGGUUUGACCCGACCCGAGUAGAUCUGGUCCAGUGGGGGAGAGAGUCUGAUGAGGCUGAUGCGUUUUUUUUUUUUUUUUACAUUCUCUCGUUUCGUAUUGGUAAGUGGUAACCCGCGUUUUCUUUGUACGUGUUUCAGGCACGUGCGAGUUUUGUGUUUACAUGUGUUUAGGCACGUGUGGUAUGUUCACUAAAACAUUUACACCUAUGACAUGAACAUUCUUUUAGUUAGGUUCAGGUUCAAAUUUUUUGGGUCUUGGUUCGUUUGCAUGUAGAGAUAUAGAAACCAUUCAAAUAAUUUAGUUUUAUUUAGGUUUAAUUAUUUUGGUUUUUCGGUUUUGUUCUCAUAAAAGUAUCGGAAACAAGUCAAUACCUGAAAUAGUUCGAGUUUAGUUUAGAUCUAAUUUAAUUUCGGUUUUGCUUAGAGUUUUUAUGUAAUUUCAUAUAAUUCAAAGAAAAAUAUCAAAUAAUUCGAAUGUUUUGGAUAAAGGAUCAGAUAUUUUAGAUUAUUUAAAUUAAACUAUCAAAUAAUCCGGAUAGUUUCGUAUUAUAUAAUUCAAUAUAAUAUUUUAUAAUUUAUAUAUUUGUGAACUGAAAUUUGGAUUUAUAGGUUGUAAUUUUAGAUAUAUGGUUAUUUUGAUACUAAACAUAUCUAAUAUUUUUCUGGUCCAUGAAUUAUAUUAUGGAUAUUCAUAUAUAUUUUCAGUUUUCAUUUUGAUUUCAAUAUAAUUUUGAUUUUUUGUUAUAGAAGCACAAUAACUGUUAAAAUGAAUUUCAAUUCAGUUUGAUUUGGUUGGAUUCCUCGAGUUUCAUCUAAAAUGCUCAGGCGUUCAUCCACUAGAAAUUUGAGAAACUGUCAACAUUUAUUGAGAAGCAACAUUGUAAAUUAAAAGUUCUCCAGCAAAUUAUUUUACAGUGGUAUUUAGAGAGGAUCAUUAUAUUUACAUAAGGUUCAUCUCCUCUUCCCUAGUCUCAAACAUUAUCUCCCACAAAAGUUUUAGCUCUAUCAUUUUCACUGCAUCCAUGAAUGACAAGUGUUGAAACCUCGACUCGUCCCAUCUCAUAGUAACUUGUUAAAACUUGUCGAUUUCCAAUUAUCACAAGCUCAUACUCCUUCCUUCCCAUUGCCUCUAUAAUCUUUGCUAUAUUUCCCUCAACUGCUAUAUCUUCAUACUCUACCACUACACCUUCACAUUGUUUCUUGAAUUCUUCCACUGCUACUUCAUCAAUAUCCUGUAUCAUCCACAAACUUUAGUUAGGUAUUAUCAGAGUGUAACCACCGAGUCUAGAAUAUAAAAUUGUUAUCAAUUAAUUAAUGGUAAAUGAUUUUGUCACCUUCUCACAAUAUGGAGAAGCUUUGGUGUUAUCAGAGAAUAGCAAAAGUGUUACUAUAAUCUUGGGGUUUUGAGCCAUUCUACUUCCAAUCUUAAGUGCUUUUCUAUCGUUUGGUCCACCAAUGAACACAACUCCUACCCUUUUUGGCGCCUGGCCGCUACUAAUACUGCUUUCUCCAGCCUCUUGAUGGCUUAGAACCGUGACCGAGCAUUUAGCAUUUUCCAUCACUCUUUGGUUGACCACUCGCCAUCCAGUAACCAUAUACGGUAAUACGACCAUCCACACCUUCUUACGUUCCGCAACAUUGCAUAUGUCCUCGUGCAUAGUCCCCAACGCCGACACACUUUUCAAGUGGCGUAUCUUUAUCUUCUGCUUCUGGUCCCUGGCCUGUUCGUAAAUACUGAAAGCAUCUUCUAUCUCGUUACGUGACCUCCCUUUACACAACUUGUGUAUGAACGGCACACCGUUUCUCCUCGUUCGUUGGACCAUUGAGAUGGAGGAUGGUCGGUCAGUAAGUUCCAUCAAGUGCAUCACAUAUAGUGUGACUGAUCCGUCGGACGUACCAAAAGACUCGACGAGUUUGAUUAUACAAGGGACGUCUCGGGGGCUACGUACGCAUGCUAGUAUGCGUAACUUCCCCUUACCUUCAGAUGUAGUACUGUCUAAACCGCCAUUGUUCAUUGGUUUGUAUAUAGCCACGACUGAGGGAGUCGUCAUGAAGGUUGUGACGAGAGCCAUCACUACUAGGAUUGCGAACAUCUCCUCGUUUAAUACCUGAUCGAUGAUAUUAAUUAUCGCAAGAAGGUCCAUUUAAAACAUAAUGAGUAAAAAUAAUUCUCAGUAAUUUUAUAUCCUAUGAGAAUUUGUUUUUUUGGGGGGUAAAAUAUUCUAUGAAAAAUUAACUUGGCAUGUUGAAGAAUUUUGAAACCACACAUUGUAGUUGGAUCACUCAUGUAUACAUAGCAACAAUUAAAUAUCAUCUGUUAAAUUUUACUUUUUAGUAUAGAUUGUAUUUUGACAUGUGCUCUAAGAUAUAAGAGAUUAUUAAUUAUGAUCUAUAAUCAACUAAAAGUGCAAUAAUCGUAGAAAAAAUAUUAAGAUGAUGUGUAGUAAACUAGUAGGUUACCUUCUUCUCCCUACCGAUGUUAAGUACAACUAGCUCAACUAGCCCUUUAGUGUUCAUCAAAAAACCUAAAGUGAGGGAUUCACGCGCCGGUAUGGUGCACAUCAUCGCCAUGAGGAAGGUACCAAUGAUCUUGCCUGCGCAAGCCGUGGAUAUGACCAAGGCCAGUAUCCCCCACGCCUCUGCACCUAUGAUCUUAUUCACAUCCGUCUUCAGUCCACUAGAUGCAAAGUAGAGUGGAAGCAGCAGCCCGGAAACAAAGUCAUCUAUCCUCUCUACAAGCCGGUCGCUGAAAGAUCCACUUUUAGGGAUGAUUAGGCCAAAUACGAACGCUCCAAAAAUGGAGUGUAGUCCGAUUAGGUCUGUGAUGAAACCGAAGACCAGAACACCAGCUAGUGUUAGGUAUAUGCAAGCCUCGUGCAUGGUCCCGUCAUAGUACCGGAUGAUCCAUCUCAUGGUAGGUUGGAUCAGAAAAAACAUGAAGAUUACAAAGGCUACACCCGAGAGGAGGGCCCAUAUGGAUAUCAAUGGGGAGACAUGUUUUUGAUGGUCGUGGCUACCGGGGAGAGCCACGGCUAGGGCAAGGAGGAUCCAUGCGGCUAUGUCGUUGAAGGCUGCGGCCGCUAACGCUGUUUGGCCAACGCUUGUGGUUAAGAGCUUGAGCUCGGCUAAGAUACUGGCAAGGACUGGGAAAGCUGUGAUGGAAAGAGCAACUCCAAUAAAGAGAAGGAACUGCCAGUACCCAGCUGAGCCAUGAUCCUCCUCCACGGCUGUACGGAGGAAGAGAGAAAUGGCCGCGCCUAAAGCAAAUGGCAGACAGAUUCCAGCGAGUGAUAUAGCAAAAGCUUUCUUUCCUGUUUGGCCUAUAGCUGCGAAGUCCAGCUCUAGACCGACUAGGAAGAGGAAGAAAAGGAGACCAAUACUUGCCACUGACUCAAGUAUUGGUGUGCUCCAUUUUGGAAAAAAUAGUUCAAGAAAUUCUUUGUUUCUUCCCAAUGCUGAAGGUCCCAACAAUAUCCCUCCCUAUAAGAAUGUAACGAUAAACUCUACGUUAAUGCGACUCUUUUUACGUAUAAAAUAGAGGCAUAUGCACAUGUAUAGUGUGUAUAGAGCUUAUAAACAUAAAGGCAUGUGCAUGUAUAGCGUGUAUAGUAUAGAGCUUACGAGGAUCUCGGCCACGACUUUGGGUUGACGUAGAGGUCUGAGGAGGAAGGCAAGGAAGCGGCUGCUGAAGAGGACAAGUAUGACUUGUACUAUUAAAAGAGGAAAGGCACACUUGAGAGGAUUGUCUCCUUCCCAUAUUCCAUCUGACGCCGCUUUGAUAUUUGUUACAUUUACAACCAUUUUCUUUUAACUAAAUUCAGUAGCUCAAUCAGAACCGCUAACUCAAAAUGAUCUUAAUUUUUUUUUCUAUCUUUGCAUGUGAAGAACGAAACUAAAAUACUUCUUUUUUUUUGCUUUAUAGAUUUUGUUUUUGUUUGGGUAAAUAAGUGAGAAGUUGUGACAAGUUAGGAAAGACGGAUUACACCUUUUAUAGCCGAGAAAGGAGAGGAGUGGUUGAUGACAAGCCAAUAAUUUUUACAACAAAAGUUUUUAGAAGAUUAUUCGUAUUUCAUUAUAAACAUUUUUAAACAUCAUGCAAAACGUUCCUUUUCUUUUGGUCAACAACAUUCAUGUUUUCUUCUGAUUUUGUUUGUCGUUACUAUCGAUCGUGCUCACUGACAUACUUUAAAAACAUUACUUUAAAAGAUUGUCACUCGCUGUCAAAAAAGAAGAAGAUGUCACUCACAUUAAUUAAGAGAAUACCGCAUAGCUGGUGUUUGUAGAAUCAAUCGAUCAAUCAUCAAAAUUUAGGAAAAUAACGAAACACGUAAACAUAAUGAGGUCAUAAUUAUUCGUUAAGCUCGUACGAAUGUGAAUAUGUAUGUUAAAAUGAAGAGCAAACGCAUAAAUUUUUAUAUAGUAAAUACCUAAACCCGAGUGGAUAAAAAUCAUCUGAUGGCGCAUUUUCAUACGCAUUGGUUAGCAUCAUAGAUAACUUCAAAUGUAGUUUAACUGCAAGCGUCGCGUACAUGUAUCAUGAGAUGAUACAUAAUCAUAUUUCCUAAAUCAAAUUUUUCCACACUGGUGUCUCGUUGGAUGUUCUCUCGAAGCCUAGAACACAUACAAAACAGACAUGUUAAGUACCAAAAAAGAAAUUUGAGCGCCGUACGUCAGACAACCGUUUAUAGCUGUGGCUCUCCCCGAUAGUCUUGCAACGGCUAGGGCAAUGUGAAUUCAAAAUGGAUCAGACUUCGAAUUAUAAUGAGAUGAUAUAUUGAUAUCGGGUUAACCAUGAACUUAAUGUGCAACAAAAUUAUAUCACCGAAACUAUUUUUUUAUCAAAGCUUCCUUUUCUUUCAAAAAGAUUAUAUAAAUAAACUAGGUGCAAAAAUCUUUCACUCCUCGAUAGAGUUUUACUCGCAUAGAUUUAUAAAAAAUUAAAAACACUCCAACUUGAGGCUCGAGGUUAUUCGUUUUGAAAAACAUUGAACUCUUUAGCAAAAAAAAAAAAAAGACUAUGAAGAAAAGUUUCCAAACUAUAUGUCAUAGUGUUUGAACUUUGAAACACAAAGAACAAAACAUGAAUAUAAUAAAAUAAAACCAAUUCUUUGAUAAAUAAACUUCGAGAAUUGAAAUAUAUUAUGAAAGUGUGUAUUUAUUCAUCCAUCAAGGAUAGAGUAUAAGUAUAUAUACAACAUAGGAAAAGGUACACAAUAGAUAAUAUCAAAUCCCUUUGAAAUAUGGAACUAUCUAAGGUAUCUUAUCUCAAUAGAUAUUUCGGGUGACAUUCUACUAUUUGAGAAUUUUUUUCUUCAAGAAUCUCCCACAGUUACACUUACAACUUUAACAAUCACAAUUCAUGACAAUCAUAACUUGUCAAGGAUAUGAUUUACAUCCUAUUCAUCUUUUCUGUUUUUUGGUCAAAUUUUCUUCUUACAAACGAGUUAUUAAACUUCAAUCCGUGAAGUUUUCUUUUCUACAAUCCUAAGAUUGAAGCGAUUCGCUAAACUCGUAAUAAAAAUGUUCAUCUCACUAAUUGCAACUACAUAGGUUAGCUAAUAGCUAAACCACAUUAUCAAUGGACCACGAAAAUGAUCUCAACUCAGAAGAGUAUCACAUGCUGUCACGAGUUUAAAAUAAAGGGAUAUAAAACUUUGAUUAUAUUUAUCAUUCAACCCAAGAGAUCCACAUGUCUUGUAGUGGAACAUAGUGCACACUAGCUUCGGAUCAGUGAUACGAUUACGAAAGCUAUAUGAUGACUGCAAAGAAAACAAAGUAGCUAUACUAUGAUUUAUAAUCGACUGGGUCCCUAUUUCUUAAUUUAAAACCCAUAAUAGUGAUAGAAAGAUAUGGUUGGUGUCAUAUGCUUCACUAAUGAAUACUUUAACGUAUUAUAUUGUAGACUUAGCUUGUAGAUACCAUUUUUCUUCCGGUUUCUAACCCAUUAUUUAUUUUAGGCGAUUUAUUAUGAUCCACUCAUACACUCUAGUAGGAUCGACCGUUUAGUUUAUUACAAAGUUACAAACGUCAAAAUCAUUAUGUGGGUGCGUAGAUCAUUGAUUCUUUUUAUUUUAUUUGUUUGGCGUAACGUAGGUCACGAUUCCUGAAACCUGAACAUAAUCAUCUAUCGUGUACAUGACUCAUGGUCAUGGCACAUAGAAGAUUUACAAAUCUACCCACCUAGCCUGUCUACACAUGACCACAUAUGGCUGCCGCCAUGGUGGAAUUGUGACGUCUCUACGAUCUGAGGUUUGACCCGACCCGAGUAGAUCUGGUCCAGUGGGGGAGAGAGUCUGAUGAGGCUGAUGCGUUUUUUUUUUUUUUUUUACAUUCUCUCGUUUCGUAUUGGUAAGUGGUAACCCGCGUUUUCUUUGUACGUGUUUCAGGCACGUGCGAGUUUUGUGUUUACAUGUGUUUAGGCACGUGUGGUAUGUUCACUAAAAC